rnacentral:rRNA from 1 species
AAGCUGGAAUCGCUAGUAAUCGCGGAUCAGAAUGCCGCGGUGAAUACGUUCCCGGGUCUUGUACACACCGCCCGUCACACCAUGGGAGUCGGAAAUGCCCGAAGUCUGUGACCUAACCGUAAGGAAGGAGCAGCCGAAGGCAGGGUCGGAUGACUGGGGGUGAAGUCGUAACAAGGUACC